GGAAAGAGAACUUUAUUCUUAGAGAGCACAUAUUUAUACCCCCCUGAAGAUCUGGGGGAAGGGGGAGGUCCUCUAGGAACCUGGCAUAAUGGAAUUGGCCUGAGAAGGAGGAGGGAGGCAUGCUAGGCUUUGAGAGCACUAAAGAGGGAGAGGUGGUACCUGGAGUCAGACACCGCCUCCUGGGGUUAAGCCCCACCUCCACAUAGGACUCACCUGCGCCUUAGAAUCUCUCAUCCCUCAGGUCUUCCCACAUGCCUUAAACUGCAUUCCUUGCAGUAAAAGAGGGCUUUUAACCCUUACAAGCUAGGAGCAAAAACAAAUCCCAUAUAACUAGAAACCCAUCAAUCCAUCACUACUAAUUCCUAAUCAGGAAUGCCCAUUGAGUUCCUUCUCAGAGUAAACCCAUUUUAGCAAAAGUCCUAACAGGAAUUUGCCCACUGAUGAAGCUAGUUCUCUUCUCAGUGUAAUAAACCCAUUCUUGCCACAAACCUGGAGCCUGUAUUCAUUCAGUUUUGCAAAUUCUUUUGCAAAGCCUGCAGAGGGGCCAGGGGAUCCCAUUGCUGUCAGGGGAUCUCUCAACCCUCAUUUCUCAAACUCAUCCAGUGCUGUGCCCCCUCCUCCCCACCUUGCCUUUGUUUCCCUGAUAGCUGGAGCCCUGUAAAAGUCUCUGGAAUUAAUUGCUGGAUGCUAGAUGCUGGAUGUCCCAGCUGGUUGAGACAAGAGUCCCAUUCAGCUGGUUAGAGAUCGAGCAUGAGUCCUGUUCAAUUGCUAGUCCAAAUUCUCCAUUAUUAAAAUAUUAAAAAUCUAAUUCCUGUCUUGCCUCAGUUUCUCCAGCAUUACACUGCUGAUCUGCUUCACUUGUAAAAACACUCUGCCCUGGUAAGCAUUUGAUAGCCUCAGAUUUCCUUGAUAUUUUUCAAAACUUCUUCCUUGUUCCUUAGCUCCAGCCAGAAAACCUCCACUGUAUUCUUAGAAACUCUGCUUUAGGAUGUGGACUCCCAAUGCCAGCCAAUAGUUUGGAAAGCAGCCACGGGGUUGGGCAGGGGAGCUCUUGGGGAAUUACCAGGGACUGCCUCUGGCUUGUUUAUGUGGAGGUCUCUUGUAUGUCAGAGAUUGUUCACUCUUACUCAUGAGAAAGAAAUAAACCUUUUUUCCUGCACUCAGACUCAGACUCCAGAUUGUCUUAGUGUUCACUACUGUCCCACACAAGUCUGAUCUGCAUCAUUGCACAUGGCAUUUCUAGACAGAAGUUCCUUCAUUCUUCUACUCAGCCUUCAGACUCUCACACUAUCCAUGAGGUGAAAGUUCCUGAGGCUGAGGCUGCCUCUUGAUCCAACUACCCCCAGGGUAUGUUGUUUGUUGAUUCCUCAGAGUCUGCCCUGUAGGUGUUUGUACUUCACUGAGGCUGAAAUUCUGACCCUGGAGGUCUGGUCUUCCCUUGGUUCUUUUCAAGUUGUCUUAGGAGUUCACUGUGUUUUACCCCAACUCCCAUUAUUUCUGCUGCUCAAUAUUCCUUCUGAGGCAAUUGUCUGACUUCUUUUGUAGAGGAAAUUUGGAGAGCCAAAAGUCACAGGUUUGCUUUUUUAAAACCUAUUUGGUCAUCUUCCCAGAAUCCUCUCACCUAGUCCCUUCCUUUCAGAGCUGCUCCAGAUCUUGCUGUUUGUUAAUUCAGUGGUGUCAAUGUGGUGACUGCAUUUGGCCCCUUGGGUCCCUUCAAUCUAAAAUUCUCUUUGUAUGUAAUUUAUUUCCCUG
rnacentral:lncRNA from 1 species